CUGGCCACCUGCCUCAGUUUAGAGUGAGACACAGGCCAGGGACAGACCCACCUAUGUGAUUAUAACAGCAUGAUGUGAUACAGGGUCUAUCAAUCCAGCUGGCACCAGUGGAAGCUAAAGAAAAACACUUGAUUUUUUCCCUUCCACACUAAUUAUUUAAUGUCCUCAAGCUGGGAUUUAAUGUCAUCUAUUUUCAGAGUCACAAGGGAGGUCCAGAUUAGGCUUGGAGAGUGUUUUCAGAUGGCAGUUUGGUACCAUGGGAUCACAGGAUAAUUCAAGCAGGAAGGGGCCUCAGGGACUCCAGUCAAUAAUCCUGCUUGAACCAGGGAGCUCUACUAGAGCUUUCCUUGGGGGAAAGGUAUCAGAAGAACAGUUAUCCUCACCUUGGAUGAAGUGGAAAAUUUAGUUAAAAUGAUCUGGGCGUCCUGAUGACAUGAGCCAACAAAAUGCCCUUGUAACAAAGAAUUGUCUUCUGUAAGGUGAACUUGAUACUGCAAACCUGUGUGCUAGAAUUGUGUAUUACUUUCUACACUCCUGAAUCUAUCUAUAGGGUCUGUUAGUGCUCAAUACAGCAACAUUCAAAGGAUUUGUUUAUGCCCUCAUUAAAGAUCAAUAUAUUUUCAAUAUGCCUAGAAUAGCUUAAUGAGUGUCCUGAAAACCUCAUGCAAGAUGAAAAAUUGAUUGGAUGUGAUUCUUGUUGGAGACUACCUAUGAAUUCAUUGAUUUUUGUUAGAUGUCAACUUUGCAAAAUGCUUCUUAGAAGUUUUCAACUCUGAAACAUCUGCAG